rnacentral:rRNA from 1 species
UGACGAGGGGGGCAAGCGUUGUCCGGAAUCAUUGGGCGUAAAGCAGCGCGUAGGACCGGCCCCUGUAAGUCCGCUGUGAAAGCCCAGGGCUCAACCUGGGAGGCGGGUGGAUACUACGGAACUGGAGUACGGAAGAGGAGAUUGGAAUUCCUGGUGUAGCGGUGAAAUGCGCAGAUAUCAGGAGGAACACCAACAGGCGAAGGCAGAUCUCUGGGACGUACUGACGCUGGAGACGCGAAAGCGUGGGGAGCAAACACGG